CUGCAACAAGGACUGUAGUGUGAAUAGCGUGCUGCGCUGCUCUCGCCAACUGAAAAGAACUCUGGUGUGCUGUAAAUGCCGACUGCACAAUAUGUGACUGGCCCGCGGCUGCUUUGAAGUCUGUGCGCUGUGGAGCUUGAAGCACUUCUCGGAAUUUCAGCACACUCGCAUUUAUUGUAAGUGCAGUGUUUUUCUUAUUUGUGCAGCGACAAAAUUAUUUUGUUUAGUUGUGUGAA